rnacentral:rRNA from 1 species
GACGAACGCUGGCGGCGUGCUUAACACAUGCAAGUCGAACGGAAAGGCCCUGCUUUUGUGGGGUGCUCGAGUGGCGAACGGGUGAGUAACACGUGAGUAACCUGCCCUUGACUUUGGGAUAACUUCAGGAAACUGGGGCUAAUACCGGAUAGGAGCUCCUGCUGCAUGGUGGGGGUUGGAAAGUUUCGGCGGUUGGGGAUGGACUCGCGGCUUAUCAGCUUGUUGGUGGGGUAGUGGCUUACCAAGGCUUUGACGGGUAGCCGGCCUGAGAGGGUGACCGGCCACAUUGGGACUGAGAUACGGCCCAGACUACUACGGGGGGCAGCAGUGGGGAAUAUUGCACAAUGGGCUGAAGCCUGAUGCAGCAACGCCGCGUGCGGGAUGACGGCCUUCGGGUUGUAAUCCGCUUUCGCCUGUGACGAAGCGUGAGUGACGGUAAUGGGUAAAGAAGCACCGGCUAACUACGUG